GACGAACGCUGGCGGCGUGCUUAACACAUGCAAGUCGAACGAGACGAUUUAGAAGCUUGCUUUUAUUGAGUCGAGUGGCAAACGGGUGAGUAACGCGUAGACAACCUGCCGCAAAGAUGGGGACAACAGUCCGAAAGGACUGCUAAUACCGAAUGUUGUAUCUCCUCCGCAUGGAAGGGACUAUUAAAGAUGGCCUCUACUUGUAAGCUAUCGCUUUGCGAUGGGUCUGCGUCUGAUUAGCUAGUUGGCGGGUAAGAGCCCACCAAGGCGACGAUCAGUAGCCGGUCUGAGAGGAUGAACGGCCACAUUGGAACUGAGACACGG
rnacentral:rRNA from 1 species